AGGGACUUAGGCUAAACUAAUACACCACCCGCCUUCAAAGCGUGAAAUAUGUAAUACACAUAGUCCCUGC
rnacentral:tRNA from 1 species